rnacentral:tRNA from 1 species
GGGCCGGUAGCUCAGCUAGGUAGAGCGGCGGUCGAGACCCGUAGGUCCCGGGUUCGAAUCCCGGCCGGCCCGCCA